GCAAGUCAACGGGCUAGUGCUUCGCACUUAGUCUCGUUUCUGGGGUUGUUACUCUAAGGCUACCUGCUAAAGUUAAUUGCUUUAAAGCAGGGGUUUUAGGAGACUUUCCCCGAAAGGGGCCAGUGCGGAGCACUGGCCAGUGGCGAACGGGUGAGUAACACGUGGGUAAUCUACCCUCGAGUGGGGAAUAAGCUUCCGAAAGGGGGUCUAAUGCCGCAUAACGUUUCAUAACGAUGGUUAUGAAACCAAAGCCCAAAAGGCGCUCGAGGAGGAGCCUGCGUCCUAUCAGCUUGUUGGCAGGGUAAUGGCCUACCAAGGCUAUGACGGGUAGCCGGCCUGAGAGGGUGUCCGGCCACACUGGAACUGAGACACGGUCCAGACUCCUACGGGAGGCAGCAGUGGGGAAUUUUGCGCAAUGGGGGAAACCCUGACGCAGCGACGCCGCGUGGAGGAUGACGGCCUUCGGGUUGUAAACUCCUGUCAGAAGGGACGAAAUCCCGCAAGGGACUGACGGUACCUUCAGAGGAAGCCCCGGCUAACUACGUG
rnacentral:rRNA from 1 species